rnacentral:rRNA from 1 species
UACAGAGGUCCCAAGCGUUGUUCGGAUUCAUUGGGCGUAAAGGGUGCGUAGGCGGCGCGGUAAGUCGGGUGUGAAAUCUCGGGGCUUAACUCCGAAACUGCACUCGAUACUGCUUUGCUAGAGGACUGGAGAGGAGAUUGGAAUUCACGGUGUAGCAGUGAAAUGCGUAGAGAUCGUGAGGAAGACCAGUGGCGAAGGCGGAUCUCUGGACAGUUCCUGACGCUGAGGCGCGAAGGCCAGGGGAGCAAACGGG